GCCUGGCUAGCUCAAUCAGUGGAACAUGUGACUCCUGAUCUCGGGGUUGUGGGUUCAAGUCCCAUGUUAGGUG
rnacentral:tRNA from 1 species